UACGGAGGGUGCAAGCGUUAAUCGGAAUUACUGGGCGUAAAGCGCGCGUAGGCGGUUUUUGUAAGUCGGAUGUGAAAGCCCCCGGGCUUAACCUGGGAAUUGCAUUCGAUACUGCGUGACUAGAGUAUGGUAGAGGGAAGCGGAAUUCCGGGGUGUAGCGGUGAAAAUGCGUAGAUAUCCGGAGGAACACCAGUGGCGAAGGCGGCUUCCUGGACCAAUACUGACGCUGAGGGCGCGAAAAGCGUGGGGGGAGCAAAACAGG
rnacentral:rRNA from 1 species